rnacentral:rRNA from 1 species
GAUGAACGCUGGCGGCGUGCCUAAUACAUGCAAGUCGAGCGAAUGGAUUGAGAGCUUGCUCUUAUGAAGUUAGCGGCGGACGGGUGAGUAACACGUGGGUAACCUGCCCAUAAGACUGGGAUAACUCCGGGAAACCGGGGCUAAUACCGGAUAACAUUUUGAACCGCAUGGUUCGAAAUUGAAAGGCGGCUUCGGCUGUCACUUAUGGAUGGACCCGCGUCGCAUUAGCUAGUUGGUAAGGUAACGGCUCACCAAGGCAACGAUGCGUAGCCGACCUGAGAGGGUGAUCGGCCACACUGGGACUGAGACACGGACCAGACGCCUACGAGAGGCAGCAGUAGGGAAUCUUCCACAGUGGACGAAAGGCUGACGGAGCAACGCCGCGUGAGAGAUGAAGGCUUUCGGGUCGUAAAACUCUGUUGUUAGGGAAGAACAAGUGCUAGUUGAAUAAGCUGGCACCUUGACGGUACCUAACCAGAAAGCCACGGCUAACUACGUGCCAGCCGCCGCGGUAA